CUGUUUGUCAGAGGAUGGAGAAGGAUGGCAGGAGAGAGAUCACUUGAUCAUUGCCUGUUAGCUUCACUCCCUCUGGGGCACCUGGUAUUGGCCACUGUCGGUAGACAGAUACUGGGCUAGAUGGACCUUUGGUCUGACCCGGUACAGCCGUUCUUAUGGCCUUCCUCUGCUAGAUCGAAGAGCCCGUUAUGGACUAGUUAUUACUUAGUCCUGCCUUGAGUGCAGGGGAUUGGACUAGAUGACCUAUUGAGGUCCUUUCUAGUCCUACGCUUCUGUGAUUCUAUGGUUAUUAAAUAUUUGUUCCCCUGGUAGGUACUUAUAGACUGUGAUCAACUCACCCCUUAACCAUCUCUUUGUUAUAACACAUUGAGCUCCUUGAGUCUAUCACUAUAAGGCAGAUUUUCUAAUCCUUUAAUCAUGUUCGUGGCCCUUCUCUGAACCCUCUCCAUUUUUUAAACAUCCUUCUUGAACUGUGGGCACUAGAACUGGACACAGGAUUCACACCAGUGCCAAGACAGAGGUAAAAUAGCCUCUCUACUCCGAUUCAAAAUUCCCGUUUAUGCAUCCAAGGAUCACAUUAGCCCUUUUGGCCAGAGCGUCACACUGGGAAUUCAUGUUCAGCUGAUUAUCCACCAUGACCCCUAAAUCUUUUUCAGAGUCACUGCUUCCUAGGAUAGAGUCCUCAUCCUGUGAGUAUGGCUGUGACAGUCGGUAUCCCUAUGUUCACCCUUUUUACAAAGCUAUAAUAGAUUUUGUACAAAGUGAGGUGUAGGCAUCAGACACGGUGAUGGCAUUAAGCCUCCGAUAGUCCCCACAGAACCAGAUCAACCCGUCUUCCUUGGGGACCAACCUCAUGGGUGAAGCCCAUGGGCUGUUGAAUGGCUGGAUGCCUUAUGCGGUAUAAUUUGAAAACUCAUAAUGUGCUGAUCAUUAUUGUCCUGGUAAAAUAUGUGUGGCAACAUUGUUUGUAAAGUGAUAAAAUCCUAUUAUAUAACAUUAGUGAGACAUAUUCCGAGUUUAGAAGAGCAGGCACAAACCAGUCCCUCGAAGACAAAAGGCAAACUGAGGCCUCAGCCAGGUGUCAACAAAAUCAAAAUGGACUAUCACCUGGUUAAGUGGCCAUUCUUUGGCAGGAAAAAGGGAGUGAGUGAGAAAUGUACAUGUUGGCAAAGAAACAGCUGGAGGUUCCUGUCCCACAGUCUCCUGAACCUCAGCUGGAGGUGACUUUCAAAGAAAUAGAGCUAUAAGAAAAGGGAACAGAGGCACCAAAAUAUCUAUCCCUUCAUCUCAUGGCAUCAACAACACCUGAAGGACAAGGAAAUUAACACAGAACUGGGGGAGAGGUCCUGACUGAAAGGAUUCCAUCCAGCAAGACUGCUAAGAUGUCACAGAGUGUGGGGGAAACCAGGCCGUGCACCCCCAGCUUCCUGCGAUGCACGUGACUCUCAACCACCCUGUAAAACAGGAGGUUUAUUUAGACGACAGGAACAGAGUCCAAGACAGCUCUUGCAGGUACAGACAACAGGACCCCCUCAGUCAGGUCCAUCUUGGGCAGGGGCAGGGAGGCCAGAGCUAUGUCUAGGUGCCCCUCCAUUUUCCCAGCCAGCCCCAAACUGAAGAAACUCCAGCCCCUCCUCUCGCCUUUGUCUCUUUCCCAGGCCAGGAAGUCACCUGAUCUUUGUUCUCCAGCACAUUCAGUAGGCACCUUUGCAGAGGAGGGGCCCAGGCCAUCAGUUGCCAGGAGACAAGGUAUCGGCCAUUCUCUGUGCAGACAGUAUCACACUGGCCCUGUAGGGCUCUGCAACAAUCACAUGCCCCCCUAGACACUUGAGAAAUGCAUAGGGGAAACUGAGGCACACACACAGCACUCAGAGAAAACAUUAAGAACGUUCCCACUUCAUCACAGUAGCUAAUUCUGACUUUUAUGCCUCAUUAUUUGUAAUCAUUUAAAAUCUAUCUGUAUUUAAUAAAUUUCUUUUAUU